rnacentral:rRNA from 1 species
UACGUAGGGUGCAAGCGUUGUCCGGAAUUAUUGGGCGUAAAGAGCUCGUAGGCGGUCUGUCGCGUCGGAUGUGAAAACCCAGGGCUCAACCCUGGGCCUGCAUUCGAUACGGGCAGACUAGAGUUCGGUAGGGGAGACUGGAAUUCCUGGUGUAGCGGUGAAAUGCGCAGAUAUCUGGAGGAACACCAGUGGCGAAGGCGGCUCUCUGGGACGGUACUGACGCUGAGACGCGAAAGCGUGGGGAGCGAACAGG